AAGUUGGAUAAAUUAUGAAAUUGGCGCGACUGCACUAAUAGAUAUGUAUGCAAAGUGCGGAUGCAUCGAAUUGUCCCUUGAGGCGACAUGACAUUUAAGUGAUGGAUCAGCAGUAGACCCAGCAGGCAGUAGGCUCAGAAGUAGGCCCAGCAUGUAGCAGCAAUAAAUCACCCUCAGUUGCGGACUGCCUUGCGGCUCAAGAACGUCUUAAACCCGAGCAAUGCGGAUCGAAUCACCUCCAAGACACUUCAGAAGAUCUCCUUUAUGAACAAUGCAAGCGUUACUUAUAUUCAACUGCUGACAUUGGAAACCAUGAAAACAGUAACGCCGCUAAUCUUGAUGUCUUAGACGAACCAACAGAAGAGGAAAGAAUUGAGACAACUGGCACACCACUAAAAAAAUUCACCACUCUUGAAAAUGUGUCUGUAGCAUGUAAACUGGAGCAUAUAAAAAAAAAAUCUGCUGAGUUAGUUGUUGAAAGUGAGAAUGGAAGGAAAGAGGUUGCACUCCCUUCUCCAAAUCCACCCAGUUACUUGAACAAUGAGAUGGAAUCAAUUAUGAGAAAUGAGCUUCCCACGCCAGUUGGAUAAAUCAUUGGUAAGUAUGUCUUCCUCUAUGUUAAACCUUGUAUCAUUUUAAGCAUCUCAAAUCAUCUGACUGGCCUUUGAUAAGGAGAUCCAUCAGAAACUUAAUUAGCCUGAACGGAUCAAUCGGAGACUGAAAAUAUUGGAUACUUGGACACUACCAAAGAAGGAUUAUCAUGCAGCACCUUGUUUGAACCAUUCUACCAGAUCCAAACCAAGAGAAUCAAC